GGUAGCACAGAGAGCUUGCUCUCGGGUGACGAGCGGCGGACGGGUGAGUAAUGUCUGGGAAACUGCCUGAUGGAGGGGGAUAACUACUGGAAACGGUAGCUAAUACCGCAUAACGUCGCAAGACCAAAGUGGGGGACCUUCGGGCCUCAUGCCAUCAGAUGUGCCCAGAUGGGAUUAGCUGGUAGGUGGGGUAACGGCUCACCUAGGCGACGAUCCCUAGCUGGUCUGAGAGGAUGACCAGCCACACUGGAACUGAGACACGGUCCAGACUCCUACGGGAGGCAGCAGUGGGGAAUAUUGCACAAUGGGCGCAAGCCUGAUGCAGCCAUGCCGCGUGUGUGAAGAAGGCCUUCGGGUUGUAAAGCACUUUCAGCGGGGAGGAAGGCGGUGAGGUUAAUAACCUCACCGAUUGACGUUACCCGCAGAAGAAGCACCGGCUAACUCCGUGCCAGCAGCCGCGGUAAUACGGAGGGUGCAAGCGUUAAUCGGAAUUACUGGGCGUAAAGCGCACGCAGGCGGUCUGUCAAGUCGGAUGUGAAAUCCCCGGGCUCAACCUGGGAACUGCAUUCGAAACUGGCAGGCUAGAGUCUUGUAGAGGGGGGUAGAAUUCCAGGUGUAGCGGUGAAAUGCGUAGAGAUCUGGAGGAAUACCGGUGGCGAAGGCGGCCCCCUGGACAAAGACUGACGCUCAGGUGCGAAAGCGUGGGGAGCAAACAGGAUUAGAGAUACCCUGGUAGUCCACGCUGUAAACGAUGUCGAUUUGGAGGUUGUGCCCUUGAGGCGUGGCUUCCGGAGCUAACGCGUUAAAUCGACCGCCUGGGGAGUACGGCCGCAAGGUUAAAACUCAAAUGAAUUGACGGGGGCCCGCACAAGCGGUGGAGCAUGUGGUUUAAUUCGAUGCAACGCGAAGAACCUUACCUGGUCUUGACAUCCACAGAACUUUGCAGAGAUGGUUUGGUGCCUUCGGGAACUGUGAGACAGGUGCUGCAUGGCUGUCGUCAGCUCGUGUUGUGAAAUGUUGGGUUAAGUCCCGCAACGAGCGCAACCCUUAUCCUUUGUUGCCAGCGGUUAGGCCGGGAACUCAAAGGAGACUGCCAGUGAUAAACUGGAGGAAGGUGGGGAUGACGUCAAGUCAUCAUGGCCCUUACGACCAGGGCUACACACGUGCUACAAUGGCAUAUACAAAGAGAAGCGACCUCGCGAGAGCAAGCGGACCUCAUAAAGUAUGUCGUAGUCCGGAUUGGAGUCUGCAACUCGACUCCAUGAAGUCGGAAUCGCUAGUAAUCGUAGAUCAGAAUGCUACGGUGAAUACGUUCCCGGGCCUUGUACACACCGCCCGUCACACCAUGGGAGUGGGUUGCAAAAGAAGUAGGUAGCUUAACCUUC
rnacentral:rRNA from 1 species